GGUGAGAUGGCCGAGCGGUCUAAGGCGCCAGACUAAGGUUUCAAUCUUUAUAUCUGGUCUCUUCGGGGGCGGGAGUUCGAAUCUCCCUCUCAUCA
rnacentral:tRNA from 1 species